ensembl:lncRNA
ACUUAUCUGAGUUUUAGAAGUUAGAUCAAUGACCAAGAAAAGCCUGUAAAACAAGAAGAACACACGAGAUGACAAGAUUUAUUUUAUCAGAGUUUCAAAACUGCAUUAGGAUUCUCAUGCACUAAGAAAGCAACAAAAAGAAUCGAACUCUCGUGAUAUUCCCCCCUCUCCACGCAGCAUCGCGUCAGAUAUGGGGGACAGUGAACGCAUCACUUACAUAUUGGGCGCAUGUUCCGCGCAUGCUGGGACGCUCGACCAAUCAGAUCGACGCAUGCCGCAAACCACACCUGCGCGGCAACUCGUGUCGCGCGCCUCAUCAUCAGCAUUGUACUAGCAGCGCCGCAAACAAAAGUUACAGGAGUUUGUCUCUCUUCGGUUCACUAAAGUUUAUUUAUUUUUUUGCCAUGCAGGGUUAAAUUUAAGUCGGGGGAAUAUUAACGAGGACGAAAGCUGCACUGACGCCUCAGGAGAAGACCGACGAGUCCCAUAGAAGCCAACUACAGCCGUGGAAAAGUUAUUGUUCGCGGAGCCCCGGUGGGGUUUAAAGUUCAGCUAGGCUAUUAGCAGGUAGUUAGCUUCGUAUCUGUACCCGUUGGUCCCCUCACAAUGGCAGCUGUGUGCCAGCCGCGACGUGCUUUGGUGGAAAUCCCUGCACCGCAGCCCAAAAUUGCAGCUCGAAUGAGGAGGUCCUACUUAGAAAUUCUGAGUGCACGUUUGGCUCCGUCUCCUCUUCCAAGAGGGAGAACCACAGCUCCAAAGCGUGUACAAUCAUUGGACUUGUCCAUCGGUGGAGUUUGGAGAGGAGGGAUGGAGGAGCAUUGUGAGAAGAUGGACGAGCCCCACACACCGCUCUCCAAACAGCAGCUUGUACAGCUGAUCAGAUCCCUGAUCUUAGUGGAACAGAGCCAAGAGCCAAGGAUCAUAGCGUCAGACCUGAAAUAUCUUCAGGAAGACCUGCAGCUAAAGAAGGCAAAUGUUUACAGGUCCAUACCUUAUUCACGGUUUGGCUCCAACAGGGAUGCUCACUGCUACAGGAAGGCCUAUCCUCAUCUAGUGGCAUUCAAAGUUUCGUGUCAGGAGUGGGGCCAAGUUCUGCUGAGGAACAAAGAGUGGGACGCUGCGUUGGAGCACUCGUUGAUGGCGUGGCGAUACACCAGCGAGUUGCCGCAGUGGGACACGGCGAACCACAACGCUCUCCGAGAACAGUGUUACAGCAUCCUGGCAGCUCACAGCCUCACCGCUCUGGAGCACUACCGCCCCGAACCCAACAGAGGACGCGAGCUGCUCAGAAGAUGGAGCCCAAGCAGCACUGUUCUCCAAUGUGCAGCGUCUGUGACUGUGACUUCAGUGGAGGAGCAAUGUUAAUGCCACGGGAGAAACAGCUGUUGCCAUGGCACUGUGCAGAGAAACAGAAAUGAUGACGUUGCAAGCAAAGAAGCAGAACUCUUCUCCUCUGCUGUAUCAGCAUCUUGACCUGAGGAAACUUCGUGCAUUUGGUUUGAGCGACAGCGGCUUUGUAAGGCUGGCGCAGCAGAAUCAAACGGAUCAUCAACAUCUAACUUCCGAAACCUUUGGGAC